GAUGAAGAACGCAGCAAAAUGCGAUAAGUAAUGUGAAUUGCAGAAUUCAGUGAAUCAUCGAAUCUUUGAACGCACAUUGCGCCCGCUGGUAUUCUGGCGGGCAUGCCUGUUCGAGCGUCAUUUCAACCCUCAAGCACAGCUUGGUGUUGGGACUCGCGUUAAUUCGCGUUCCCCAAAUUGAUUGGCGGUCACGUCGAGCUUCCAUAGCGUAGUAGUAAAACCCUCGUUACUGGUAAUCGUCGCGGCCACGCCGUUAAACCCCAACUUCUGAAUGUUGACCUCGGAUCAGGUAGGAAUACCCGCUGAACUUAAGCAUAUCAAUAAGCGGAGGA
rnacentral:misc_RNA from 1 species